GGGUUGUGAGGUUAAGCGACUAAGCGUACACGGUGGAUGCCCUGGCAGUCAGAGGCGAUGAAGGACGUGCUAAUCUGCGAUAAGCGUCGGUGAGGUGAUAUGAACCGUUAUAACCGGCGAUUUCCGAAUGGGGAAACCCAGUGUGUUUCGACACACUAUCAUUAACUGAAUCCAUAGGUUAAUGAGGCGAACCGGGGGAACUGAAACAUCUAAGUACCCCGAGGAAAAGAAAUCAACCGAGAUUCCCCCAGUAGCGGCGAGCGAACGGGGAGGAGCCCAGAGCCUGAAUCAGUGUGUGUGUUAGUGGAAGCGUCUGGAAAGGCGCGCGAUACAGGGUGACAGCCCCGUACACAAAAAUGCACAUGCUGUGAGCUCGAUGAGUAGGGCGGGACACGUGGUAUCCUGUCUGAAUAUGGGGGGACCAUCCUCCAAGGCUAAAUACUCCUGACUGACCGAUAGUGAACCAGUACCGUGAGGGAAAGGCGAAAAGAACCCCGGCGAGGGGAGUGAAAAAGAACCUGAAACCGUGUACGUACAAGCAGUGGGAGCCUCUUAAUGGGGUGACUGCGUACCUUUUGUAUAAUGGGUCAGCGACUUAUAUUCUGUAGCAAGGUUAACCGAAUAGGGGAGCCGAAGGGAAACCGAGUCUUAACUGGGCGUUAAGUUGCAGGGUAUAGACCCGAAACCCGGUGAUCUAGCCAUGGGCAGGUUGAAGGUUGGGUAACACUAACUGGAGGACCGAACCGACUAAUGUUGAAAAAUUAGCGGAUGACUUGUGGCUGGGGGUGAAAGGCCAAUCAAACCGGGAGAUAGCUGGUUCUCCCCGAAAGCUAUUUAGGUAGCGCCUCGUGAAUUCAUCUCCGGGGGUAGAGCACUGUUUCGGCAAGGGGGUCAUCCCGACUUACCAACCCGAUGCAAACUGCGAAUACCGGAGAAUGUUAUCACGGGAGACACACGGCGGGUGCUAACGUCCGUCGUGAAGAGGGAAACAACCCAGACCGCCAGCUAAGGUCCCAAAGUCAUGGUUAAGUGGGAAACGAUGUGGGAAGGCCCAGACAGCCAGGAUGUUGGCUUAGAAGCAGCCAUCAUUUAAAGAAAGCGUAAUAGCUCACUGGUCGAGUCGGCCUGCGCGGAAGAUGUAACGGGGCUAAACCAUGCACCGAAGCUGCGGCAGCGACACUAUGUGUUGUUGGGUAGGGGAGCGUUCUGUAAGCCUGUGAAGGUGGCCUGUGAGGGUUGCUGGAGGUAUCAGAAGUGCGAAUGCUGACAUAAGUAACGAUAAAGCGGGUGAAAAGCCCGCUCGCCGGAAGACCAAGGGUUCCUGUCCAACGUUAAUCGGGGCAGGGUGAGUCGACCCCUAAGGCGAGGCCGAAAGGCGUAGUCGAUGGGAAACAGGUUAAUAUUCCUGUACUUGGUGUUACUGCGAAGGGGGGACGGAGAAGGCUAUGUUGGCCGGGCGACGGUUGUCCCGGUUUAAGCGUGUAGGCUGGUUUUCCAGGCAAAUCCGGAAAAUCAAGGCUGAGGCGUGAUGACGAGGCACUACGGUGCUGAAGCGACAAAUGCCCUGCUUCCAGGAAAAGCCUCUAAGCAUCAGGUAACAUCAAAUCGUACCCCAAACCGACACAGGUGGUCAGGUAGAGAAUACCAAGGCGCUUGAGAGAACUCGGGUGAAGGAACUAGGCAAAAUGGUGCCGUAACUUCGGGAGAAGGCACGCUGAUAUGUAGGUGAAGCGACUUGCUCGUGGAGCUGAAAUCAGUCGAAGAUACCAGCUGGCUGCAACUGUUUAUUAAAAACACAGCACUGUGCAAACACGAAAGUGGACGUAUACGGUGUGACGCCUGCCCGGUGCCGGAAGGUUAAUUGAUGGGGUUAGCGGCAACGCGAAGCUCUUGAUCGAAGCCCCGGUAAACGGCGGCCGUAACUAUAACGGUCCUAAGGUAGCGAAAUUCCUUGUCGGGUAAGUUCCGACCUGCACGAAUGGCGUAAUGAUGGCCAGGCUGUCUCCACCCGAGACUCAGUGAAAUUGAACUCGCUGUGAAGAUGCAGUGUACCCGCGGCAAGACGGAAAGACCCCGUGAACCUUUACUAUAGCUUGACACUGAACAUUGAGCCUUGAUGUGUAGGAUAGGUGGGAGGCUUUGAAGUGUGGACGCCAGUCUGCAUGGAGCCGACCUUGAAAUACCACCCUUUAAUGUUUGAUGUUCUAACGUUGGCCCGUAAUCCGGGUUGCGGACAGUGUCUGGUGGGUAGUUUGACUGGGGCGGUCUCCUCCUAAAGAGUAACGGAGGAGCACGAAGGUUGGCUAAUCCUGGUCGGACAUCAGGAGGUUAGUGCAAUGGCAUAAGCCAGCUUGACUGCGAGCGUGACGGCGCGAGCAGGUGCGAAAGCAGGUCAUAGUGAUCCGGUGGUUCUGAAUGGAAGGGCCAUCGCUCAACGGAUAAAAGGUACUCCGGGGAUAACAGGCUGAUACCGCCCAAGAGUUCAUAUCGACGGCGGUGUUUGGCACCUCGAUGUCGGCUCAUCACAUCCUGGGGCUGAAGUAGGUCCCAAGGGUAUGGCUGUUCGCCAUUUAAAGUGGUACGCGAGCUGGGUUUAGAACGUCGUGAGACAGUUCGGUCCCUAUCUGCCGUGGGCGCUGGAGAACUGAGGGGGGCUGCUCCUAGUACGAGAGGACCGGAGUGGACGCAUCACUGGUGUUCGGGUUGUCAUGCCAAUGGCACUGCCCGGUAGCUAAAUGCGGAAGAGAUAAGUGCUGAAAGCAUCUAAGCACGAAACUUGCCCCGAGAUGAGUUCUCCCUGAGACUUAGAGUCUCCUGAAGGAACGUUGAAGACGACGACGUUGAUAGGCCGGGUGUGUAAGCGCAGCGAUGCGUUGAGCUAACCGGUACUAAUGAACCGUGAGGCUUAACCUUACAACGCCGAAG
rnacentral:rRNA from 1 species